GUGAGGAAUAUUGGUCAAUGGACGAGAGUCUGAACCAGCCAAGUCGCGUGAAGGAAGACGGUUCUAUGAAUUGUAAACUUCUUUUGUGCAGGAAUAAAGUGGGUUACGUGUAACCUUUUGUAUGUACUGUACGAAUAAGGAUCGGCUAACUCCGUGCCAGCAGCCGCGGUAAUACGGAGGAUCCGAGCGUUAUCCGGAUUUAUUGGGUUUAAAGGGUGCGUAGGUGGAUUGAUAAGUCAGCGGUGAAAGUUUGCAGCUUAACUGUAAAAUUGCCGUUGAAACUGUCGGUCUUGAGUGCAAAUGAGGUAGGCGGAAUGUGUUGUGUAGCGGUGAAAUGCUUAGAUAUAACACAGAACUCCGAUUGCGAAGGCAGCUUGCUGGGAUGCAACUGACACUGAUGCACGAAAGCGUGGGUAUCAAACAGGAUUAGAUACCCCUGUAGUCC
rnacentral:rRNA from 1 species